GAUGCUCUAACCCUCUGAGCUAAGUGGGC
rnacentral:tRNA from 1 species